UAUAAAAAUCACUAAGGAGUUGCACGUGCAAUUUCUUGCUGAUUAAAUAAUUAUGCACUGAGGUAUGAUUACAAAAUAAAUUAGCGAGCAAAAUAACCAGACUUUUUAAACGAUUUCGACUUUCAUAUGCAAGCAAUCAUCAAUUGUUUAACUUCUAAUUCACCCGUUUGUCGUUACUAUCAACAAAGUUUAAUUUGGCAUCUCGAUCUUCUGAAUUUCAACCACUGAAAAAGCAAGGAAAGGUUUGGCGAGCUAUAUGGACAAUCUUCCUAGCGGCGAGCGACUGGAUCCGUCAGAUGCACCAUUGAAAUUAAGAAAACGCGACGACACUCAAGAUUUGUUUAAUUGGGAGAAUAUCGUGACAUUAACAAAAUCGGACUUUCGUGCUUUUCUGAAGCUACGACUGCUAACCGGCAAUGACUUGACGGACUUUCAUCACGACCUGAACAAUAUAAUCCGUCUUCGGCUUCCCAGUGAUUGUCUAAUGCGACUUGAUUUCGUUAAGCAUAUGCAAAUAUUUAUUCUCAAUUGUGCCACAAAGUUCGAGAUAAACGAACAAGACUUUCAAAAUUCCAACCAAGACUUUAUCAAUGGCUUGACUCGUCUGAUUGGAAAGCAGUGGCUUCCUGAAGUUCACGAUCAAAUGCGCACUCUUCUUCUGGCCCUGAGUUUUAAGGCUCGUGGUCAAGAGCAGAGGAACAGGAGGAAGGAGAUUGACUGGAAUGUCGAACUAAAUGAAUACCUUCAAGAUUUGAGGGAUAUUCUCAUAAAGUUAAGGGUGUCACAGUUACGAGGUCACUAGUGUAUAUCAACAAAACUCAACAAACUUGUAUUUGUACCCGUAUAAAAUUUUGAAUGUAUAAUGAGGAUGGUGAUGAUGAAUUUCACUCAGAUAAUGAUUUUAUUAAAGACGAAGUGUUAAUAAAAAAGGGUAAUUUAAUU